UGGCUAUAGCUUGUGGUAAAGCGAAUUAGAAUUCCAUUCUGAUUCGAAACAAUGUGCAAUGACGUGUUCCAUCUCUAUGCGACCGAGAGGGUCACAAUGCCUACGCUUCACAUGGAACUCCAGAACCCAAGAGAUAUGUCCAGAACUCUCAAUAAAUCGUCAGUUCUUGAUCGACAAACAACGAGAGAGACAGCAUUAUUAUGGCAAGCUUUUCAUUCAUCUUCCCUGAAGACAGACGUUGUUCCAUUAAGGACAACGAAGUCAAUUCAGGGUGGAUGUCAACGGUGACCCAACUCAACGCCCUUGGUGGUCCAGAGUCAGAGAGUCGGAAAAUUGUUCAGAGCUUUGCAGAGGUACUUGGUGACAAGUACCACUACGAGAAUGCCAUCGACAGCUCUCUGCUCUGGACUGUUGGGUACACCCCCUACAUUCCCCCAGCUCUGAAAGGAAGAAGCUUCCCUUCUGUCGAGAGCUUCUUCCUGGAUGAGUGGGAGCCACUGACACUCCUGCAGACUUCUCAGGUUCUGUCCACCAGUGUUUCCAUCGAGGAAGACAACCGGAUCCAGUCUGCUGCAGGCCUAGUGUCUCAGGUUCUGUCCACCAGUGUUUCCAUCGUGGAGAAUGACCUGAUCCAGUCUGCUGCAGGCCUAGUGUCUCAGGUUCUGUCCACCAGUGUUUCCAUCGUGGAGAAUGACCUGAUCCAGUCUGCUGCAGUCCUAGUGUCUCAGGUUCUGUCCACCAGUGUUGCCAUCGUGGAGAAUGACCUGAUUCAGUCUGCUGCAGGCCUAGUGUCUCAGGUUCUGUCCACCAGUGUUUCCAUCGUGGAGAAUGACCUGAUCCAGUCUGCUGCAGUCCUAGUGUCUCAGGUUCUGUCCACCAGUGUUUCCAUCGAGGAAGACAACCUGAUCCAGUCUGCUGCAGGCCUAGUGUCUCAGGUUCUGUCCACCAGUGUUACCAUCAUGGAGAAUGACCUGAUCCAGUCUGCUGCAGUCCUAGUGUCUCAGGUUCUGUCCACCAGUGUUACCAUCAUGGAGAAUGACCUGAUCCAGUCUGCUGCAGGCCUAGUGUCUCAGGUUAUGUCCACCAGUGUUUCCAUCGUGGAGAAAGACCUGAUCCAGUCUGCUGCAGUCCUAGUGUCUCAGGUUCUGUCCACCAGUGUUGCCAUCGUGGAGAAUGACCUGAUCCAGUCUGCUGCAGGCCUAGUGUCUCAGGUUCUGUCCACCAGUGUUACCAUCGUGGAGAAUGACCUGAUCCAGUCUGCUGCAGGCCUAGUGUCUCAGGUUCUGUCCACCAGUGUUUCCAUCGAGGAAGACAACCUGAUCCAGUCUGCUGCAGGCCUAGUGUCUCAGGUUCUGUCCACCAGUGUUACCAUCGUGGAGAAUGACCUGAUCCAGUCUGCUGCAGGCCUAGUGUCUCAGGUUCUGUCCAGCAGUGACGCUAGAGUGAAGGAUCGUGAUGAUUCCACACUGAGAGACUCCAACCAACCUGAGGUCCAUGUGGCUGAUGUCUCAACCAAGAGAAGUAGACUAGUCAUCACUAUUUCUAUGUUUUCAACCGAGAGUUGCAAUGCUUCGGUCCAUGAGGUUGAUGCUAUUGCUACCAGCCUGGAGCACUCUGCUGAGAAAAUGUCUACCUCUACCGCUGAUGGCCACAUUGUUUCAUCCACUGCUGUAGCCAAUCAGAAGGAAACAAGGGGCGGAUUCGUCUCUUCUCUACGGAGACUGUUCACAAGAAAGAACAGGAUGCCUGUCAGUAAUACUUAUAUACUUAUAUAAUCUUUUGUACUGUAAUAUGUUAUCAUUUAUUAACUAUUGUUAUACUAAUAUCCAGUGUUAAUGGUUGUCUUUAAAAUAUUUUUCUCUGUUGUCUACUUGUCUGUUUUCAGGCUAAAGUGGCUUCCAAGAAGGAGCACAUUCACUUGGUUGACCGCCUCAAUGCUGAAGUCACCCACUGAGGGCACUCACUCACUGCUGAAGGCAUCCAGAAUGAUGCUUCUGUUUCUCCUCAACGCCACCUACACCCCUGCCCCUCUCCCCCACACCAAACCCUACCAGGGUUGGGGUGAAUUCCAGAUAUAUUCAGUCAAUUCAGCAAGUCAACUAAAAUUCCAAUUCCAAUUGUUUCUCAUAGGAGGCAAUGAGGUAAAUUUGAAUUGCUAUUGGAAUUUCAGUUUACUUACUGAAUUGACUGAAUUGAAAAUGAAUUGACCCCAACCCUGAUCCCUAAGCCCCCACCCCAUCCAUUUCUAUCUUCAGUAAACUUUGUAGAAUUUUAUUUGAAUGUGUUUUGGAUCUUCAUUAAAACCCACAAUACAUCUCUAAUGAGGGUCACUCAUGUUACACAUCUAGAUUUAUCAUCAAAUAUCGUAGAAUUCAACAACAAAUGCAGUGGUUUAGCAGUUCAACUUCAGUACUUGUCAGUGAGUAACUGCACUGUGACCUUCAGAAACAUGUAACAUUGUGGAAAAACUGAAAACUUUUGCUGACAUUUGGUUACAAUGUAACUACACUGAACAAAAAUAUUAGCGCAACAUGUAAAGUAUUGGUCCCAUGUUUCAUGAGCUGAAAUAAAAUCCCAGAAGUGUUCCAUAUGUACAAAAAGGUUAUUUCUCUGAAAUGUUGUGUUUACAUCCCUGUUAGUGAGCAUUUCUCCUUGGCCAAGAUAAUCCAUCCACCUGCCAGGUGUGGCAUAUCAAGAAGCUGAUUAAACUGCAUGAUCAUUACACAGGUGCAUCUUGUACUGGGGAAAAGAAGAGGCCACUUUAAAAUGAGCAGUUUUGUCACACAACACAAUGCCACAGAUGUCAGAAGUUUUGAGGGAGUGUGCAAUUGGCAUGCUGACUGCGGAAAUGUUCACCAGAGCCAUUACUAGAGAAGUCAAUGUUAAUUUCUUUACCAUAAACUUUCCAAUGUCGUUUUAGCGAAUUUGGCAGACCACACCAGGGGCUGAGGAGUAUUUCUGUCUGUAAUAAAGCCCGUUUGUAGGGAAAAACUCAUUCUGAUUAGCUGGGCCUAGCUCCCCAGUGGGUGGGUCUGGCUGCCAGGUGGGUGGGCCUAUGCCAUCCAAGGCCCUCCCAUGGCAGCACCCCUGCCCAGGACCUAAUUAAUUUAUUUCAAUUGUUUGAUUUCCUUAUGUGAACUGCACCUCAGUCAAAUCUUUCAAAUUGUUGCAUGUUGCGUUUAUAUUUUUGUCUGCACAUUUUCUUGAGAAUGACAUGCGUUCUCACUCAUUACUUCUAGAAUCAGAAAUGAAAACCGACUCAACGUAAUAUAUUAAAGGAAUGAAAAGGGCUUUAUUCAACGGUGGCUCCUGAAGUCCCUGCACACAUUUACAUUUACAAGGUUCCAUCUUCACUGAGGACAAUCUCAGUAUCGGAUUUUAGCAGAGACAAUGAAGCAGAGACAAUGAAAAGCAAACAAAUAAACAAACUGAACAAACCAAACAAAAACUCAGUCCCCACAUGAUAUGUGACAUGACACAUGACCCGAAGAACCAUAUUGGUGCGUUUUUCCUAAUCAGAUGAUUACUGAUUGUGUUUGUUAUUAUAAGUUCACUGUAAUGUCCAACGUUCUGAACUAACAUGGUAAUGUAAUGUACAUGUUGUCUACUAGUCUGUAUGUAAUAUCAACACUCUGGACAGAGAGCUAUGGUUUUUCGGUAGAAGGAUUUAUGUGUAUAACUAGAUCUACUGUAUGGGACAACAAAAAGUACAUAUGAAUAGGGAGUUGAAGCAUUUGUAGAGUGACACGGCCUAUUAACACAAAUUAAAACACAAAUAUCAACACAGACUUAUAUAAAUACUAAUAAAAACAUAAUACUGAAAACUUUUGUCAAACAACAAAGGAAGAUUGUCAAUGUGCUUUUUUGAAAACAACAACUUAUUCCCUAAAAGUACAUUCUAUUUAUAUCUUCAUUUGGACUAAAUAUAAAAAAUCUGUACAUUAGAGAAACAAGUGUAGUAUGUGAAUGUGUCUUUGUAUGUUUUCAGUUCAUCUUAUCAUUAUAUACAGUCUAUAAUCUCAGCCCAGAAACAGAGAUCUUAUAAUACUGUAUAACACAGAGUUAUAAUGACUUGUGAAAAGUGCCUAAAACCAAAACAUCACUACUUCAAAAGCACCUAUAAGAAGAAGAACAGUUAUUGCAUCAACACAAUAGGAAAUAAUUAUGUUUGCAUCUCUUUUAAACAAUGUUGGUACUACAUUGGUAAUGAUUAGUUCUACGUUGGUAAUGGUUGGUACUAUGUUGGUACUGACAUCCACAACUCCCUGUUUCUAUUGCAGAACUCAAUACAGGACCGUAUACAUGCAACUACAAACUGCUUGUCAACAGCAAUCAGCACGGAGUGAUUUCCACAGUAUUACUCUCACAGUCUUCUUGUCCUCCAUUUUGGCUCUGUACAUUGUCCAUGCGUCCCAGUGCCGUGCCGUUAGUGGACUCCUGACUCAGGGCCGGGAAACGGACGUUACGCUCCAGUUCUGGGUUCAGACAGAGGAAAGUCUGGUUCUUAUCGUUAUUAUUGCUGUUGUUACUAGUAGUGGUGGUGACUACCGACUCGCUAAAGAUAGUGUCUGAGAAGACAGAGUCUAGGUUGAACAAGGUGCCACCGAAGAGGGAUUCCUGGCAGGUGGAUUUGGGUCGAUCGGUGGCUACCUCUGGGUCUCUGGGGGGUUUGCUUGGUGGUGGUGGUUGAUUUUCAGUGUCUGGUUCUUCUGUAUUGUUCUGCUUGUUCUGCUGGCUUAUUGCGGUGAUCUCCUUUGAGACAUGACUGAGUCAUGGUAUUGAAAUUGAAACCUGAAACCUGAAAUGUUGUGCUGGCUACAUCAUGUAGAUGCUCUGUUACAUCAUCAGCAGUGAGUGGACAACUCGGGAAAAAUGACUGGCUCCAUACUGCAGCCUCUCUAAUGUUCAUAUAUAUCACAGUACAAUGUUACCUGAACAAAAACUCUACUACACACGUGUGUGGAGCCUCAGUCAUGUACCAUUGAAUUGGCAGAAAGUAUUGAGCCUUCGUCAAAAAUAAUAGUGUUUUCUGAUUGUUCUUGGUGAAUGUCAGUUUUGUUUGAUAAAUAACAGACAAUAGGACUCAAGCGUAUAUCAAAUUGUCCUUCUGUUUGUCUAACCAUCAUAUAAUGCCUAUAGCCAGAACCGUGUAUUGUAAUAGAAGACUGCCUGUACAGUUCUUUAAAUUCUCUAUUCGUAGCAUCCUUUUCUGAGAGCUCUAUUUCACUCAAUAGUCGAAUAUGGUGAUUUUUUUUUUAUUGUUUUCUGAAUGCUUUGUACACAUGUGCAAGUGUGUGUACAAGGCACUGAACUGGAGAGAUAGGGCAAAAUGACUAUAGGCGCGGGUACGCCUACACUGCCCAGGUGAGGAAAAGUGCAGGGCUGAGGACACUCAUUUCUGUGACAGUGCGCACGUCCUGCGCUUUUACGCACGGUCUCUUUGCAGUAAUGCAUAAACGUUGUUAUGGUGUUAUGACACUAGAUUACUCUAUAUUUUAUAAUCAAUUAAAAAUAAGAAAUUAAACUUGUUUACAUUUUGUUUAUGGCUAUAGCUUGUGGUAAAGCGAAUUAGAAUUCCAUUCUGAUUCGAAACAAUGUGCAAUGACGUGUUCCAUCUCUAUGCGACCGAGAGGGUCACAAUGCCGACGCUUCACAUGGAACUCCAGAACCCAAGAGAUAUGUCCAGAACUCUCAAUAAAUCGUCAGUUCUUGAUCGACAAACAACGAGAGAGACAGCAUUAUUAUGGCAAGCUUUUCAUUCAUCUUCCCUGAAGACAGACGUUGUUCCAUUAAGGACAACGAAGUCAAUUCAGGUAUGAACAAUAACAUACAUUUCCGUCUGUAAAUACAAAUAUUAAUUGAAG
ensembl:lncRNA